UGCGUGCGGUGAGGUGGCCGGGG
rnacentral:miRNA from 1 species